rnacentral:rRNA from 1 species
GAUGAACGCUAGCGGCAGGCUUAAUACAUGCAAGUCGUGGGGCAGCAGGACUGUAGCCAUACAGUUGCUGGCGACCGGCAAACGGGUGCGGAACACGUACGCAACUUACCCGGAACUGGGGAGUACCCCGGGAAAACCGGGCUAACAACCCCAUAGUAAAAUGGAUUGGCAUCCCUUUAUAAUUAAACCUCCGUGGGUCGGGGUGGGGCUUGGGGCUGAUCAGGUAGUUGGUGAAGGUAACGGUGCACCAAGCUUACGAUCAGUAACUGGGGUGAGAGCACGACGAGUCACAGGGGCACUGAGACACGGGCCCGAGUCCUACGGGAGGCAGCAGUAAGGAAUAGUGAGCUAUGGAGGCAACUCUGACCCAGCCAUGCCGUGUGGAGGAUGAAGGCCCUCUGGGUUGUAAACUUCUUUUAUAGGGGACGAAACCUGUGUAUUCUUACGCAGUUGACGGUACCCUAGGAAUAAGCACCGGCUAACUCCGUG